CCUACGGGAGGCUGCAGUGGGGAAUAUUGGGCAAUGGUCGCAAGCCUGACCCAGCAACGCCGCGUGAAGGAAGAAGGCUUUCGGGUUGUAAACUUCUUUUUUCAGGGACGAAGCAAGUGACGGUACCUGACGAAUAAGCCACGGCUAACUACGUGCCAGCAGCCGCGGUAAUACGUGGGUGGCAAGCGUUAUCCGGAUUUAUGGGGUGUAAAGGGCGUGUGGGCGGCAAGGCACGUCAGAGGUAAAAACUAUGGGCCCAACCCAUGGCCUGCAUUUUAAACUGAUUUCUUGAGUGCUGGAGAGGCAAGCGGAAUGCCGGGUGUAGCGGUGAAAUGCGUAGAUAUACGGAGGAACACCAGUGGCGAAGGCGGAUUGCUGGACAGUAACUGACGCUGAGGCGCGAAAGCGUGGGGAGCAAACAGGAUUAGAUACCCCAGUAGUC
rnacentral:rRNA from 1 species